rnacentral:tRNA from 1 species
GGAAUGUGGCUCAAGUGGUAGCGCGCUCACCUGACAUGUGUGCAGCCCGGGUUCGAUCCUCAGCACCA